rfam:Ictidomys tridecemlineatus contig028888, whole genome shotgun sequence.
GGGGUUGUGGCUCAGUGGUAGAGCACUUGCUUAGCACGUUUGAGGCACUAAGUUCGAUUCUCAGCACCCCA